ensembl:lncRNA
UUGAUGGGUACAUGUAGCAUUAAUGAGUCCUCUUGUAAAGCAUACACUUGCCUUUGAUGGAGAUGUGUAGCAUUAAUGAGUUUUUGCUCGAAAAUAUCAAUGACAUUGAUAUGAAUAAGAAUGGCAAUAGAAUGAUGACGGAACACAGUGGACAAUGCAAUAAGCAAUGAAAUGCAUUUAAUAAUAUCAUAAGCAAUGUCUCCAGUAAAGUUCUUUUGAAAUUCAGCAUUAUGGACAAAAUAUGUAUAUCUACAGAAAUGUGUCUUCAAGUCUAUUCUAGACAGUAGGUAGCAAGCGCAAGUUGAGGGG